rnacentral:sRNA from 1 species
AGUGACAAAGGAGAAGAAGUAGAAGAAGGAGAAGUA